GGAUCUUUCCYGUCUUAUGAGUUUGACUUCAUGAUCCAGCCCAAUAAUUGUGGAGAGUUCCCUCCCUUUGCAUUUGUGACCCCCAGCAGCACUUUUCACUCAUCUUAAAGCUUUCCCUGCAACCCCAAAGGGUGGUGGGGACAGAAUGGCCCCUUGCCAGGGCUGCUGUCCUUGCUAAUUGUUGGGUUUUGCUCUUUGCUGUAAUCCUGCAAUGUGGAAGAUGUGCUGAUAUCCAGCUACAGAACAGUGACAGAUGAAGGAAACUGAACUUCACUGUCGACAGAUCCAUGUGACGCCCGUUGCUUCCUUCAGCAGUAACUUCAUGUCCAUGUCUGGCACUAUAGAUGGGUUGAAUUUCUCCUAUAACUACCUUAGAUAUUCAGAGAGGAGAUAUCAACAUAAUUACUGGAAGUGGAAACUAUUGCCAUGGUGAUGGUGCGCGACACAGCAAAGCUCCUCGGGAAGGGAGCACAGCCCCAGGAUUUCGAGAACAAUGAAUGAAAUUUAUUCCCUGCUAAAGACCAGGCAUACAUUAUAGCUGAARCAACACCCCCGCACAAAGCCUGAGCUA